AAGGAUCAUUACCGUUGGAGUUCGCUCCAUCUGGGAUAGAACCCUUGAAUUUGAGUACCUUUUCGUUUCCUCGGUGGGCUCGCCCGCCGGUGGACAACUAAAACUCUUUGUAAUAGCAGUAUCUUCUGAGAAAAACAAAUAGUCAAAACUUUCAACAACGGAUCUCUUGGUUCUG
rnacentral:misc_RNA from 1 species